GGGGAUUUAGCUCAGUGGUAGAGCGCUUGCCUAGCAAAAGCAAGGCCUUAGCAAGGCCCUGGGUUCGGUCCCCAGCUCCG
rnacentral:tRNA from 1 species